ensembl:snRNA LOC120103246 U1 spliceosomal RNA
AUACUGGGCAGGGGAGAUACCAUGGUCAUGAAGGUGGUUUUCCGGUGCCGAGGCUUAUCCAUUAUUGUACUCUGGAUUGGCUGAUCCCUGUAUUUCCCCCAAAUGUGGGGAACUGGGCUAUAAUAGGUGGUAGAGGGGGACGUUGUGCUCUCCCCUU